rnacentral:other from 1 species
UGAUCUCUGGGUUGUUUGUAAGUUUGGCGGGAAAUCCCUUGAGCCUAAUUACGAAAUUCGGGGUUUGACGAAUGUUUUGUGUGCAUGACCGCUGCGGUGGUAAGCCUAAUAAACGUUAACAUGAUCCCACUUGAACCUUACUGGUUCAAGGUCGAUGUCUAACUUACGGCAACUUGGUAUCAC